AACUUUCAACAACGGAUCUCUUGGUUCUGGCAUCGAUGAAGAACGCAGCGAAAUGCGAUAAGUAAUGUGAAUUGCAGAAUUCAGUGAAUCAUCGAAUCUUUGAACGCACAUUGCGCCCCUUGGUAUUCCGAGGGGCAYGCCUGUUCGAGCGUCAUUU
rnacentral:rRNA from 1 species